AACGAACGCUGGCGGCAGGCCUAACACAUGCAAGUCGAGCGCCCGUAGCAAUACGGGAGCGGCAGACGGGUGAGUAACACGUGGGAACGUGCCCAAAGGUACGGAACAACUCCGGGAAACUGGAGCUAAUACCGUAUGUGCCCGAAAGGGGAAAGAUUUAUCGCCUUUGGAUCGGCCCGCGUCUGAUUAGCUAGUUGGUGAGGUAAUGGCUCACCAAGGCGACGAUCAGUAGCUGGUCGAGAGGAUGAUCAGCCACACUGGGACUGAGACACGGCCCAGACUCCUACGGGAGGCAGCAGUGGGGAAUAUUGGACAAUGGGCGCAAGCCUGAUCCAGCCAUGCCGCGUGAGUGAUGAAGGCCCUAGGGUUGUAAAGCUCUUUCGGCGGGGACGAUAAUGACGGUACCCGCAGAAGAAGCCCCGGCUAACUUCGUGCCAGCAGCCGC
rnacentral:rRNA from 1 species